rnacentral:misc_RNA from 1 species
AAUGAGUUCUCAGAACUUUGAUCACCUGCAUUUUGACAAAAAACAACAAUUAGUUCUAAGCUUCUAGUGUUUUGAAGGGUAUAAUUACCAGGUUUGAGAUUAAUUAUUUACCUGCCAUUCAAGGCAAAGCAAAAAUGCAGACGAAUACAAGACAACAAAAGAAUUUCAAGGAAUAUGACAUUACUCUAUUAGUGAUUAUUAUUACCAACGAUUCAAUGAGAAUUUCAGCAAUACAGUAAAGCAUUCUUUGCACCACCAAUCUCAGAUGGGAGAAUCUCAAUUCCAGAUUACAAAUUCAAAUGCAAAUGUUCCUACUUCCUAUUAAGGCAUUAAGAAUUUAAGUUUGAAAACUUAAUUAUAAGAAACAUGAUUGAUGGGCUGAAUUAAGUUUUCAAUGAUUGAGGAAUAAAAUAAAUGCCAUGUCAACUUGGAUAAUGCCAAAAUUAUGGUUCCAGUAAAACUACUUGCAUAAUACAUGGAGGGUGAUACUCACAAUGGGAUGAAGCCCGCUACGGGGAGGAUCAACAAUAGCAACAAU